UCCUCUGUAGUUCGGUGGCAGAACGCCGCAGCGUCAAUGCGGAUAUCCAGGUUCGUACCCUGGCGGAGGAGC
rnacentral:tRNA from 1 species